rnacentral:rRNA from 1 species
GAUGAACGCUGGCGGCGUGCUUAAUACAUGCAAGUCGAACGGAAAGGCCCUGCUUUUGUGGGGUGCUCGAGUGGCGAACGGGUGAGUAACACGUGAGUAACCUGCCCUUGACUUUGGGAUAACUUCAGGAAACUGGGGCUAAUACCGGAUAGGAGCUCCUGCUGCAUGGUGGGGGAUGGAAAGUUUCGGCGGUUGGGGAUGGACUCGCGGCUUAUCAGCUGGUUGGGGGGGUAGUGGCUUACCAAGGCUUUGACGGGUAGCCGGCCUGAGAGGGUGACCGGCCACAUUGGGACUGAGAUACGGCCCAGACGCCUACGGGAGGCAGCAGGGGGGAAUAUUGCACAAUGGGCGGAAGCCUGAGGCAGCAACGCCGCGUGCGUGAUGACGGCCUUCGGGUUGUAAACCGCUUUCGCCUGUGACGAAGCGUGAUUGACGGUAAUGGGUAAAGAAGCACCGGCUAACUACGUG